UGCCGCGUUGUGUAACGGUAGCACGAAAGAUUCUGAUUCUUUUAGUUCUGGUUCGAAUCCAGGCGCGGUAGCCA
rnacentral:tRNA from 1 species